UACGGGGGGUGCGAGCGUUGUCCGGAUUCACUGGGCGUAAAGGGCGCGUAGGCGGCCCCGUCAGUCGGGCCUGAAAGCCCGGGGCUCACCCCUGGGUCGGGGUCCGGGACGGCGGGGCUGGGGGGCGGCCGAGGGGCGCGGAAUGCCGGGUGUAGUGGUGAAAUGCGUAGAGAUCCGGCGGAACACCGGUGGCGCAGGCGGCGCCCUGGGCCGAGCCCGACGCUGAGGCGCGAGAGCGUGGGGAGCGAACCGG
rnacentral:rRNA from 1 species